rnacentral:rRNA from 1 species
ACCCCGAGAGGGGAGUGAAAUAGACCUGAAACCGUGUACGUACAAACAGUCGGAGUAUCGAUUUAUCGAUAUGACGGCGUGCCUUUUGAAGAAUGAACCUGCGAGUUACUGGGACGUGGCAAGGUUAAUCUGCUAAGCAGAGGAGCCGAAGCGAAAGCGAGUCUGAAUAGGGCAUUCAGUCGCGUUCCGUAGACCCGAAACCAGGCGAGCUACCCAUGGCCAGGUUGAAGCUCAGAUAGUCUCUGAGUGAAGGACCGAACCCAUUUCAAGUACAAAUGGAUGGGAUGAGUUGUGGGUAGAGGUGAAAUGCCAAUCGAGCUUGGAAAUAGCUGGUUCUCCCCGAAAUGCAUUUAGGUGCAGCGUUGAAGAUUGACUUGAGGAGGUAAGGCUCUGGAUGGGUCAGGGGGUGCAAACUUACCGAUCCCAACCAAACCAAGAAUGCCUUAAGCUCGUACUUCGGCAGUGAGACAGUGGGGGAUAAGCUCCAUUGUCGAGAGGGAAACAGCCCAGACCACCGUCUAAGGUCCCCAAGUAUAUACUCAGUGUGAAAGGAAGUUGAAUCGCCAAAACAGCCAGGAGGUUGGCUUAGAAGCAGCCACCCUUUAAAGAGUGCGUAAUAGCUCACUGGUCGAGGGGUUCUGCGCCGACAAUUUAACGGGGCUUAAGUAUAUCACCGAAGACGUGGCAUCAGUUUACUGAUGGGUAGGGGAGCGUUCUGUAGGCAGUGAAGUCUAGUUGUAAAGCUAGGUGGAGCGUACAGAAGUGAGAAUGCAGGUAUGAGUAGCGUAUAUCUCGGUGAGAAUCCGAGACGUCGAAAAUCUGAGGAUUCCUACGCAACGUUUAUCGACGUAGGGUUAGUCGGUCCUAAGGUGUAUCCGAAAGGAGUAACCGAUGGACAGUAGGUCAAAAUUCCUACACCACCUAUUAUUCGUUUUAAUACAAAGGGGGGACACGGACAGGUAGGCUGAGCGUGCCUAAUGGACAUGGUGCGUUCUUCUUUGAAGGCCAUCUCGCAAGACAUGUAAAUCAGUUAGCGAGGUUAUGAGCUGAGGAAGGAGAGAACUCUAGGGCUCGCCCUGGGGGAUUCGGUUGAACCUAUGCCGUCAAGAAAAGCCUCGUUGUAAGGAUAGUGGGUGACCGUACCGUAAACCGACACUGGUAGAUGAGCAUGAAAGUGCUAAGACGGUCGAGAGAACUCUGGUUAAGGAACUCGGCAAAAGGACCCCGUAACUUCGGGAUAAGGGGUUCCCUCGGGGUGAAGUCUAUUUACUAGACCAGCUCUAGAGGGACACAGCAAAUUGGCCCAAGCGACUGUUUAUCAAAAACACAGGUCUCUGCUAAGGGGUAACCCUAGGUAUAGAGGCUGACGCCUGCCCAGUGCCGGAAGGUUAAAGGGAAAGGUUAUCCGUAAGGAGAAGCUUUGAACUGAAGCCCCGGUGAACGGCGGCCGUAACUAUAACGGUCCUAAGGUAGCGAAGUCCCUUGUCGGGUAAGUUCCGACCCGCACGAAUGGCGUAACGACUUGGGCGCUGUCUCAACCAGAGACUCGGCGAAAUUGCAUUGGCCGUGAAGAUGCGGCCUACCCGCGACAGGACAAAAAGACCCCAUGGAGCUUUACUACAGCUUGGCAUUGAAUUGAGGACUGGAAUGUGUAGGAUAGGUGGGAGGCUUUGAAGCUUCGGCGCUAGUCGGAGUGGAGCCGUUGUUGAAAUACCACUCUUUUCUGUUGUUGAUUCUAACCUGUGAUAGGCACAGGGACCGUGUCUGGUGGGUAGUUUGACUGGGGCGGUCGCCUCCCAAAGAGUAACGGAGGCGUACAAAGGUUCGCUCAGGACGGAUGGAAAUCGUCCGAAGAGUGCAUUGGCAUAAGCGAGCUUGACUGUGAGACCUACAAGUCGAGCAGGUGCGAAAGCAGGUCAAAGUGAUCCUACGGUUCCGCAUGGAAGGGCCGUGGCUUAACGGAUAAAAGCUACCCUGGGGAUAACAGGCUUAUCUUGCCCAAGAGUUCACAUCGACGGCAAG